rnacentral:rRNA from 1 species
UGACCGCUGGCGGCGUGCCUACUACAUGCACGUCGAGCGACCAGACGAGGAGCUUGCUCCUCUGACGUUAGCGGCGGACGGGUGAGUAACACGUGGAUAACCUACCUAUAAGACUGGGAUAACUUCGGGAAACCGGAGCUAAUACCGGAUAAUAUAUUGAACCGCAUGGUUCAAUAGUGAAAGACGGUUUUGCUGUCACUUAUAGAUGGAUCCGCGCCGCAUUAGCUAGUUGGUAAGGUAACGGCUUACCAAGGCAACGAUGCGUAGCCGACCUGAGAGGGUGAUCGGCCACACUGGAACUGAGACACGGUCCAGACUCCUACGGGAGGCAGCAGUAGGGAAUCUUCCGCAAUGGGCGAAAGCUUGACGGAGCAACGCCGCGUGAGUGAUGAAGGUCUUCGGAUCGUAAAACUCUGUUAUUAGGGAAGAACAAAUGUGUAAGUAACUAUGCACGUCUUGACGGUACCUAAUCAGAAAGCCACGGCUAACUACGUG